GUGGUGGGUAGCUCAGUGGAUAGAGCGCCUAAAUAUCCUUAUUCACCCCUUGCCUGAAAAGGCCGACGAAUCGAGGGUUAUCGCCUGCCAAGCGGGAGGUCGCGGGUUCAAUUCCCGCUCCACUACACCA
rnacentral:tRNA from 2 species